rnacentral:rRNA from 1 species
AUUGAACGCUGGCGGCAGGCCUAACACAUGCAAGUCGAGCGGAUGAAGGGAGCUUGCUCCUGGAUUCAGCGGCGGACGGGUGAGUAAUGCCUAGGAAUCUGCCUGGUAGUGGGGGAUAACGUCCGGAAACGGGCGCUAAUACCGCAUACGUUCUGAGGGAGAAAGUGGGGGAUCUUCGGACCUCACGCUAUCAGAUGAGCCUAGGUCGGAUUAGCUAGUUGGUGGGGUAAAGGCCUACCAAGGCGACGAUCCGUAACUGGUCUGAGAGGAUGAUCAGUCACACUGGAACUGAGACACGGUCCAGACUCCUACGGGAGGCAGCAGUGGGGAAUAUUGGACAAUGGGCGAAAGCCUGAUCCAGCAAUGCCGCGUGUGUGAAGAAGGUCUUCGGAUUGUAAAGCACUUUAAGUUGGGAGGAAGGGCAGUAAGUUAAUACCUUGCUGUUUUGACGUUACCAACAGAAUAAGCACCGGCUAACUUCGUG